GGUGGGGGGAGCCGAAGUGACGUAACGUGGCGUAUGCGUAACGUGGGUUCUGGGAGAAGCAGCGGAACGUGAAGUUGGGUGGCUGUACCGGAAGGAGGUGCGAAUUUUCAGGACUUGACACUUCCAGUUUAAACCUCAAGAUGAAGAAAGUGAGACCCAGAAAGGCUGAGUCACUCAUUCAACUGAACCAUUUCAACAACCAGAUCUGGCCUCUAUUCCUGUUGUUGCAGACGUAUGUGUAUUUUAAUUAAU